GCCCCCGUAGUUCAACGGAUAGAACAAUGCCGUCCUAAGGCGGAGAUGUCAGUUCAAUUCUGGCCGGGGGCA
rnacentral:tRNA from 1 species